rnacentral:rRNA from 1 species
CCUACGGGAGGCAGCAGUAGGGAAUUUUCGUCAAUGGGCGCAAGCCUGAACGAGCAAUGCCGCGUGAACGAGGAAGGUCUUCGGAUCGUAAAGCUCUGUUGAAGGGGAAAAAGAGCGGAGAGAGGAAAUGCUUUCUGAUUGAUAUUACCCUUCGAGGCCGUCUCGGCAAACUACGUGCCAGCAGCCGCGGUAAUACGUAGGUGGCGAGCGUUAUCCGGAAUGAUUGGGCGUAAAGGGUGCGUAGGCGGCCUGCUAAGUCUGGAGUGAAAGGUACCGGCUCAACCGGUACAGGCUCUGGAAACUGGCGGGCUAGAGAGCAGGAGAGGGCGGUGGAACUCCAUGUGUAGCGGUAAAAUGCGUAGAUAUAUGGAAGAACACCAGUGGCGAAGGCAGCCGCCUGGACUGUGACUGACGCUGAGGCACGAAAGCGUGGGGAGCAAAUAGGAUUAGAUACCCUAGUAGUC